rnacentral:rRNA from 1 species
CCUACGGGAGACAGCAGUGAGGAAUAUUGGUCAAUGGUCGGGAGACUGAACCAGCCAAGCCGCGUGAGGGAGGAAGGUACAGAGUAUCGUAAACCUCUUUUGUCAGGGAACAAAGACUGGGACGCGUCCCCGGAUGAGUGUACCUGAAGAAAAAGCAUCGGCUAACUCCGUGCCAGCAGCCGCGGUAAUACGGAGGGUGCGAGCGUUAUCCGGAUUUAUGGGGUUAAAAGGGUGCGAAGGCGGGCUGUUAAGUCAGCGGUCAAAGCCCGGGGCUCAACCCCGGCCCGCCGUUGAAACUGGGAGUCUCGAGUUGGAGAGAGGUAUGCGGAAUGCGCGGUGUAGCGGUGAAAUGCAUAGAUAUCGCGCAGAACUCCGAUUGCGAAGGCAGCAUGCCGGCUCCACACUGACGCUGAGGCACGAAAGCGUGGGUAUCGAACAGGAUUAGAUACCCCUGUAGUC